GGUAUCAAUAACCAUUGAAGUGGGGUGAUAUUAACAGCUGCACCUUCUUUCUGCUUCUGUUCCCUCUAGUGCAGAGCCAGGAGUUGUUAUUAGCUGUCCAAUUUGCAUGGACUAUUACUCAGAGAUUAUGCAAAGUGGACGACAGCUUUACACAACUGUGUGUGGCCACGUGUUCUGCAGCACGUGCCUCCCUGCUGCCCUGGAGAACACCGGCACGUGCCCAACCUGCAGAGAGGAACACGAUCCAGAAUUGUAUUUUCCAGUUUAUUUAUGAGUGUUUCUGCUUCUCAGGGCACUCUCAGGUGGAUCUGGGAGAUCCAACAGGCGGUGUAGAGGCUUCUUUCUUUCUUUAUGUAUAUAGUUCUUCUUUCUUUAUGUAUAUAGUUCUUUCUAUACCUAGUUUCAUUUUUUAUGUGUUCACUUAUAAAUAACGUUUUGAUUGAUUUAACUCUA